rfam:Schistosoma margrebowiei strain Zambia genome assembly, scaffold: SMRZ_scaffold0001885
CUAAUUACUGAAGAGUCCCAUACUAGGACGAAACGGUCGUCCAGUAC